GAGGUUCUUCUACAACCGGGAGUGUAUUUGCUGGGGUGUUGAGGCCUCUCUGUUGCAUUAUCUGCCCCAACCAGUGGGCUGUAUUCUGUAACUGGAAAGCCAUGUUUUGAAGAUCUUGGUUAGACAAGGUGACAGCGGGAGUGUUCCCUGCCAAACUUGGCGAGGGAUUAAGAGGAACAGGUGUUUGGUUGUUUAAUGCCGUAGGACUAGAAAAGGAGAAUUGUUGCCCCUCUUGGGCAGAGCUUAGGUCAUUUGGGACAUUAAGGUUACUUUCUUG
rnacentral:lncRNA from 1 species